AACGAACGCUGGCGGCAUGCCUAACACAUGCAAGUCGAACGAAGCCUUCGGGCUUAGUGGCGCACGGGUGCGUAACGCGUGGGAAUCUGCCCUUGGGUUCGGAAUAACAGUUAGAAAUGACUGCUAAUACCGGAUGAUGUCUUCGGACCAAAGAUUUAUCGCCCAAGGAUGAGCCAGCGUAGGAUUAGCUUGUUGGUGAGGUAAAGGCUCACCAAGGCGACGAUCCUUAGCUGGUCUGAGAGGAUGAUCAGCCACACUGGGACUGAGACACGGCCCAGACUCCUACGGGAGGCAGCAGUGGGGAAUAUUGGACAAUGGGCGAAAGCCUGAUCCAGCAAUGCCGCGUGAGUGAUGAAGGCCUUAGGGUUGUAAAGCUCUUUUACCCGGGAUGAUAAUGACAGUACCGGGAGAAUAAGCCCCGGCUAACUCCGUGCCAGCCGCCGCGGUAACAC
rnacentral:rRNA from 1 species